rnacentral:tRNA from 1 species
GCCGGGAUCGCAUAAUCUGGCAUUGCGCGGGCCUUGAGAGCCCGUUUCCGAAAGGAUAUGGGGGUUCAAAUCCCUCUCCCGGCG